rnacentral:piRNA from 1 species
UGAAUAAUUCGGUGUUGUAGA